rnacentral:rRNA from 1 species
AACGAACGCUGGCGGCAUGCCUAACACAUGCAAGUCGAACGCAUCGCAAGAUGAGUGGCGCACGGGUGAGUAACACGUGGGAAUGUAUCCUUUGGUUCGGAAUAACGUCUGGAAACGGAGGCUAAUAACGGAUGAGCCAUUAGGGGGAAAGAUUUAUCGCCGAAGGAGCAGCCCGCGACUGAUUAGGUAGGUGGUGGGGUAAAGGCCUACCAAGCCGACGAUCAGUAGCUGGUCUGAGAGGAUGAUCAGCCACACUGGGACUGAGACACGGCCCAGACUCCUACGGGAGGCAGCAGUGGGGAAGAUUGGACAAUGGGCGCAAGCCUGAUCCAGCCAUGCCGCGUGAGUGAUGAAGGCCUUCGGGUUGUAAAGCUCUUUCGCACACGACGAUGAUGACGGUAGUGUGAGAAGAAGCCCCGGCUAACUUCGUGCCAGCCGCCGCAGUAACAC